UUGGUGUCUUUUCCUGUGGAAUAUUCCCUGAAAGGUGGGGAGCUUGGGACCAGUAAUGAAGGAGGGGUCUGAUGAGUCACAAUGACGUUUUCUUACUCCUGAGACCUACUGGUGAAGCUGAGAACAGGCUUACACUAGGAGCUUCUGGGAGAUGAUGUGGAGCACACUUCAGAACUGUCCCACAUGAAAAGCAGGGAAGCACAGUUAUUUACCCUUUAUCUUACAUUUGUCAUUGGUUGAGGUCUACUCCGGGUUCAUCAGCUCCUUAGCACUUCCGGUCUGUUCUGUACAAAGCUGGACUCAUUCCUUCAGACUGAUGUGUACUAUCUUCUUGGUUCUGGAUGCUAUGCCUGGUGAUUUUAUCCACAGAGGUAUAUGUGGGGGCAGUCUGUUUUAGGAGACUGAAGGUUUUAAUUCUCAGGAGAAGAUGGGGAAACCAAUUCUGCAUGGAAUUAAGUCAACCUGCUCAGGCUCCUAUAGCAAUCUCCUACUAGGAUUUCCCACUGGCCAAAACUCAACCAGAAGCCAGAAAGUGAGGAGGGAUGCUGAUGUAUUCCAACAAGGUGGUUCUGAGCUGACAGUAGGACAUAGAAUGGUGGGUAGCAGGUGGAAAGGGGUAAACAGAAACACAGCACAAGUAGUCAAUAUGAUGGGUAAGGCCUUCUCUAGGAGCUCACAGUCUCAUGGUGAUGGGGCUAGAAGAGGAAGCAGACAAUAAACACAUAUACAAGGUAAUUUCUGAGCAUGAUGAGGAAUAUGUAGACAAAUGAAAAAAAAAAAAACCAGCAAUGUAACAGUGAAUGGCUGAGUUCUUUGAACAUGUGAACAUUUA